rnacentral:rRNA from 1 species
AUUGCACGCUGGCGGCAGGCUUAACACAUGCAAGUCGAACGAGUGGCGGACGGGUGAGUAAUGCUUGGGAAUCUAGCUUAUGGAGGGGGAUAACUACGGGAAACUGUAGCUAAUACCGCGUACCAUAGGAUGAGCCCAAGUGGGAUUAGGUAGUUGGUGAGGUAAAGGCUCACAAAGCCGACGAUCGCUAGCUGGUCUGAGAGGAUGACCAGCCACACUGGGACUGAGACACGGCCCAGACUCCGACGGGAGGCAGCAGUGGGGAUUAUGGCGCAAUGGGGGCAACCUGACGCAGCCAUGCCGCGGGAAUGAAGAAGGCCUUCGGGUUGUAAAGUUCUUUCGGUAGCGAGGCGUUAACUACAGAAGAAGCACCGGCUAACUCCGUGCAAGCCGCCGCGGUAAUAC